rnacentral:lncRNA from 1 species
AUGAUAUAUGGACUCUCUAUAGACUGUCUAUUGCCGAUUUUUUUAAUUAGAGUGAGUAAUGUAGUCAAACGAAGGUGCUUAAUAGUUUUAAUGUUAUUAAUGUCUGGGAAUGUAUUGUCUAACCCAGGACCUUAUGCUGCUUCAAAUUUUACUACUCCGACUGAACUAAAAUCCAGGUCAGGACUGGGUUUUAUUCACCUAAAUGUUCGUAGUCUGUUGCCAAAAUUAGAUAUGAUAUAUUUUUGGGCUAGAAAUACAAAUGUGGAUGUCAUAGUUAUAUCCGAAUCUUGGUUAAAUAAAUCGAUCUCAGACGAAUAAAUUAGUAUUUCUGGAUACAAGGUUUUUAGAGCUGAUAGACCAAAAAGGGGUAGAGGGGUGGCAAUUUAUGUCAAAGAACAUUUUGAGACAACAUGAGAAGGGUCUGGCUGCAGACUUGCACUUGCACUCUCAGACUUGCACUCUCAGACACUUCUGCUUCCGCUAGCGACGUCACUUGUAGUCUUUAUUAUUAUUUUUUUCUUCUUCUAUUUAUUGAUAACAUUUUGUUUGAAUCUUUCAACAUUUUACAACAGUAGCCAGGUGGUGAAGACAAGAAAAAAGAAACAAAAUUACAAUGUCACUUGCAAUCGCAACUUGCACUCUCCGCUACCUGUGACGUCACUUACAGUCAACACAAAUCGUGCAUGUUGCCAAUGGAGACAAGAUGCUGUGGCGGUGAUUAAACGAUUAAAGCUAAAUUAGUAGGCCUACUACUAUGCACAAAGUCUUUUGUUAACCGUUUUACUCCUGUAGAAAAAAACAAACACUUAAUAUGGCAUAAUGUAUUAGGAUACGUUACGUUCAAUUAAAAGACCAAAUUCGAUAUAUAGUUAUUAUUUAAUGUACAACAAGGCAAGCAGAUGGCUAUGAACACAAUGCGAACGCUUAAUGUGGCCUAAUAACAGACUAAGAUGAUAAAGACUAUUCAGCAUGCAUAGCCUAUAUGUCUUGUUGUUGACUCAACGUAUACACAGACCAGCAAAUAUGAACGUGCAUUAUGAAAUGCAUUAAGUGAUUUUAAAAGGAUCAACUCCAUACAGGCAAGCAGACGAGUACAGAACGCAGUGCUUUAAAUUGUACAUUAAACGUUUUCCUCCUAUAGAAAAUCAUUAUAAAUAAAAAACAUAAUGUAGCUUAAUUGACAAAGACAGUGAUAUAAACGACUUGUAGACAGUUUAUUCUAUAUGGAAAAAUGCUUAAUGCGAAACUUUGCGCGUUGCGUUUAUUCACCACCACAGCUUCUUGUCUCCAUUGGCAACAAGCACGAUUUGUAUCGAUUGCAAGUGUAGCAGAGAGUGCAAGUAGCGAUUGCAAGUGACAUUGUAAUUUAGUUAAUUUUUUUCUUGUCUUCGCCACCUGGUUACGGUUAUAAAAUUAAAAAUUAAUAAAAUAAAAAAUAAAGACUGCAAGUGACGUCACUAGCGGAAGUGCAAGUGUCUGAGAGUGCAAGUCUGAGAAUGCAAGUCUGGGAGUGCAAGUGCAAGUCUGCAGCCAGACCCUCUUGGACAACAUUGCUACUUUCAACUUCCAUAGCUAAACAAUAUGAAUUAUUAGCUCUAAAUUUAUCUGUGUCUAAUAAUGUGCAGCUCACCAUAGCUGGUUGUUAUAGUCCUCUGUCGGCAACUAGUUGUACUUUGCAUUUAGUAUUGAAUUUUAUUGGCUUCUUUAAAUUAUAAAGAACUGGUCUUAUUAG